CAGCUGGAUAGGAGUGAGGAGUUGGAGGAAGGGUUGGGGUAUGGCCAGUGCAGUUAAGUGACUUGCCUUGGUGCACACCCCCAGAAAGUGACAGCACCAGCAUUUGAACCCUGACACAAGCAUCUCCAAAACUGCAUUCUUCCCACUGUGCCACAGUUAAGAUGAGUCCACCAGCCCUGUUUAGGUGAGUUCUGGCCCUCCCUGUGUGUCCCCA
rnacentral:lncRNA from 1 species